CUUUCUCCUCUAAUCUCUCUGCUAAACCCUAAACCAAACCAACCCAUCAUAUGUAUCUUAAUUACCUCUUCUACUUCUACAACAUCACUGCCCAUUAUGCCUUUGGCUGCUGCAUCAAAUUAAAGCUCUGAUCUCAUCUCCAAAUUGGGUUCGAUCUCAUAAUUUUCAACUUCCUUCCUGCUCUCUCUUUCUCUCUGCAACAUCACAUCACAUCACUUGCAAUGGCUUUUGCGGCUGUAACCAUUUUAAUGGAUACACUCCACCAACACUACCUCCAACCCACUCCUCGUUUCCCUCUUCGCAACAAAACAAAGGUCAGAUUACUUUACAAAAAUCUUUCUUCUUUGCAAACCUCUCUUGAACAAGAUUUCAAAGUGGGGGAGUGUGAUGAAGCAAUCAAAGCUUUGGAAGCACAAAUGAGAGAUGUCUCCGUUGAACUAAGGUUCCAAAUAGAAGACCAAUUGAGAUUGUUUUACCUGGAGAAAUCCAUGAAGCUUAGGCUUCACUCUGCUCAAAAGCUUCUUCCCCUUUUGAAUGGAGCAACUAAUGGCGGCAUAGAAAUUAUGGAUUUGGAAUCUGUGUUGGAGAUGCUAGGGAAGCACUUCACGCUGCCGGUAUCAGGCAUGCCGCCUCAUAUAAACAAAAGGGUCAAAUCUUUUUGCACACGGUACGCUCUUCUUUUUAAAUAUG